rnacentral:rRNA from 1 species
GGCGGCGUGCCUAAUACAUGCAAGUCGAACGCUUCUUUCCUCCCGAGUGCUUGCACUCAAUUGGAAAGAGGAGUGGCGGACGGGUGAGUAACACGUGGGUAACCUACCCAUCAGAGGGGGAUAACACUUGGAAACAGGUGCUAAUACCGCAUAACAGUUUAUGCCGCAUGGCAUAAGAGUGAAAGGCGCUUUCGGGUGUCGCUGAUGGAUGGACCCGCGGUGCAUUAGCUAGUUGGUGAGGUAACGGCUCACCAAGGCCACGAUGCAUAGCCGACCUGAGAGGGUGAUCGGCCACACUGGGACUGAGACACGGCCCAGACUCCUACGGGAGGCAGCAGUAGGGAAUCUUCGGCAAUGGACGAAAGUCUGACCGAGCAACGCCGCGUGAGUGAAGAAGGUUUUCGGAUCGUAAAACUCUGUUGUUAGAGAAGAACAAGGACGUUAGUAACUGAACGUCCCCUGACGGUAUCUAACCAGAAAGCCACGGCUAACUACGUGCCAGCAGCCGCGGUAAUACGUAGGUGGCAAGCGUUGUCCGGAUUUAUUGGGCGUAAAGCGAGCGCAGGCGGUUUCUUAAGUCUGAUGUGAAAGCCCCCGGCUCAACCGGGGAGGGUCAUUGGAAACUGGGAGACUUGAGUGCAGAAGAGGAGAGUGGAA